rnacentral:rRNA from 1 species
GACGUAGGGGACGAGCGUUGUCCGGAUUCAUUGGGCGUAAAGCGCGCGUAGGCGGUUACGCAAGUCCGAUGUGAAAGCUUCCGGCUUAACUGGAAAAUUGCAUCGGAAACUGCUCGGCUUGAAGGUGGGAGAGGGUAGCGGAAUUCCCGGUGUAGUGGUGAAAUGCGUAGAUAUCGGGAGGAACACCAGUGGCGAAGGCGGCUACCUGGCCCACUCUUGACGCUGAGGCGCGAAAUCUAGGGGAGCAAACGGG